UGGGGAAUAUUGGACAAUGGGGGCAACCCUGAUCCAGCCAUGCCGCGUGUGUGAAGAAGGCCCUCGGGUUGUAAAGCACUUUCAGCGAGGAAGAACGCCUAGCGGUUAAUACCCGCUAGGAAAGACAUCACUCGCAGAAGAAGCACCGGCUAACUCCGUGCCAGCAGCCGCGGUAAUACGGAGGGUGCAAGCGUUAAUCGGAAUUACUGGGCGUAAAGCGCGCGUAGGUGGCUUGAUAAGCCGGUUGUGAAAGCCCCGGGCUCAACCUGGGAACGGCAUCCGGAACUGUCAAGCUAGAGUGCAGGAGAGGAAGGUAGAAUUCCCGGUGUAGCGGUGAAAUGCGUAGAGAU
rnacentral:rRNA from 1 species